ACAGGCGAAGUCACUAAUCCCAUGCUGCCGAGAAAAGCCUCUAGCGAGCUCACGUGGUGCCCGUACCCCAAACCAACACAGGUGGGCAGGUAGAGAAUACCAAGGCGAUCGGGAGAACUAUGGUUAAGGAACUCGGCAAAAUACAUCCGUAACUUCGGGAGAAGGAUGACCCCAUUAGGGUGACGGACUUCGCGUCCCGAGCUCGAAGGGGUGGCAGAUACUAGGGGAAAGCGACUGUUUACUAAAAACACAGCAGCGUGCUAAGCCGCAAGGCGACGUAUACGCUGUGACGCCUGCCCGGUGCCGGAAGGUUACGGGGAAGGGUUAGCCCUCGGGCGAAGCUCUGAACCUAAGCCCCGGUAAACGGCGGCCGUAACUAUAACGGUCCUAAGGUAGCGAAAUUCCUUGUCGGGUAAGUUCCGACCUGCACGAAUGGCGUAACGACUUUCCUACUGUCUCAACCAUAGGCCCGGCGAAAUUGAAGUACGAGUAAAGAUGCUCGUUAGCUGCAGAAGGACGGUAAGACCCCGUGGACCUUUACUACAGCCUGAUAUUGGGUUUUGGUAUGUGUUGUGUAGGAUAGGUGGGAGACUUGGAAGCGUCGGCGCCAGCCGGCGUGGAGUCACCCUUGAAAUACCACCCUGCACAUGCCGGAACUCUAACCUAGAUCCGUUAUCCGGAUUGGGGACAGUGGCAGGUGGGUAGUUUGACUGGGGCGGUCGCCUCCUAAAGAGUAACGGAGGCGCCCAAAGGUUCCCUCAGGCUGGUUGGCAAUCAGCCGUCGAGUGCAAUGGCACAAGGGAGCUUGACUGCGAGACAUACACGUCGAGCAGGUGCGAAAGCAGGGCAUAGUGAUCCGGCGGUUGCGUGUGGAAGCGCCGUCGCUCAACGGAUAAAAGGUACCCCGGGGAUAACAGGCUCAUCUUCCCCAAGAGUCCAUAUCGACGGGAAGGUUUGGCACCUCGAUGUCGGCUCAUCGCAUCCUGGGGCCGUAGCAGGUCCCAAGGGUUGGGCUGUUCGCCCAUUAAAGCGGUACGCGAGCUGGGUUUAGAACGUCGUGAGACAGUUCGGUCCCUAUCCUCUGCAGCCGGAGGGAAUUUGAGGAAAGCUGUCCCUAGUACGAGAGGACCGGGACGGACGCAGCUCUCGUGUGCCAGUUGUCCUGCCAAGGGCACGGCUGGUUAGCGACCUGCGGAAGGGAUAAGCGCUGAAAGCAUCUAAGUGCGAAGCCUGUUCCUAGAUGAGAUUCCCCACUGGGUUAACCAGGUAAGGCCCGUGACCAGACGAUCACGUUGAUAGGCCGGAGGUGUACGCACAGCAAUGUGUUCAGCCGGCCGGUACUAAUCGGCCGAGGGCUUGGCU
rnacentral:rRNA from 1 species